rnacentral:rRNA from 1 species
GACGAACGCUGGCGGCGUGCUUAACACAUGCAAGUCGAACGGAAAGGCCCUGCUUUUGUGGGGUGCUCGAGUGGCGAACGGGUGAGUAACACGUGAGUAACCUGCCCUUGACUUUGGGAUAACUUCAGGAAACUGGGGCUAAUACCGGAUAGGAGCUCCUGCUGCAUGGUGGGGGUUGGAAAGUUUCGGCGGUUGGGGAUGGACUCGCGGCUUAUCAGCUUGUUGGCGGGGUAGUGGCUUACCAAGGCUUUGACGGGUAGCCGGCCUGAGAGGGUGACCGGCCACAUUGGGACUGAGAUACGGCCCAGACUCCUACGGGAGGCAGCAGUGGGGAAUACUGCACAAUGGGCGGAAGCCUGAUGCAGCAACGCCGCGUGCGGGAUGACGGCCUUCGGGUUGUAAACCGCUUUCGCCUGUGACGAAGCGUGAGUGACGGUAAUGGGUAAAGAAGCACCGGCUAACUACGUG